GCCCCCGUUGUCUAAUGGUUAUGACGUCAGACUUCUAUUCCGCGUUGUCUAAUGCGAAUUACGUAUCUGGAGGCUGCGGGUUCGAGUCCCGCCGGGGGUU